UCCUAAUGCAGCACGGGGGCCAUCCCCUGAUCAUUUAGUUCCUUUGCUCCAAUCAUUCCUGCCCCUACUCAUCAUGUAAGACCUACACAUGUGCGUGCCCUCUAACGGUAGGAAAAUGGGGUUCACGAGAAUGGAGGAGCAAGAAGUGGACAGGCACCUGGGUCCUCAGUGUGGAGGACAAAGAAUUCCAUAAAGGCUCCAACAUUUCUGGGAGAACCCCGAUUUCCAACCUUCUGUGUCAUUUCUUUCCUGAAUAAACCAGAGGGACUCUGCACCCAGAAGUCAUAAAUGACAUAAACGUUGAUGGAAGAAGAAGGGUUUGAGGGAAGGUGGCAGUCUGAGUAGCAAGAAGGAACUGCAGAGGAAGAGAGAUGAUUAUGGAAAAUGAAAACGGGGGCCUUCAUAUCUGCUGAUUUUGCUGGUCGCAUGGUCAGGUGCCCUGCUGUUGGCUCCUCCGUCUACGUUCUGAUGCAUAGCUGACGGCUGCAGGAUGGAGACAGGAGUUGUUUGGGGAACAACAAGGCAGCAACAGUGCAGCGCUCAGGAAAACCAGGAGACUGUCUAAGAUCAGAGUCUAUGACUAGAAUGGCUGCUGGUAAGAAUCACACCGCGUGGCUGACUGGCAGCUGCAUUCCCAGGGACUUGCAGGCUUGGGCAAUUGUGGAAAGAGAAAGUUUCCAUGGAGAACUAUGCAAAGUGCCUAGAAGGAAUCAUCAGGGCAGGUAGGAAGAUAUGGAGAAAUUCUGCAUCGAGGAGAUGGCUCAGUAAGAAGAGAGGUGCACAAGCAAAUCCCAGGGGCGAUCCUGUUGUGUCUAGAAAGAAGAGACAAGAAAAACCUUUUCUUCCAGAUUCUUUUUUUUUUUCCAGCCAAAGCCACAAGGCCUCUGGCACAUACACACUCAGCUGAUAUUUUUUUAUGUGUCCUACUGUUUCCUCUGAAUUCUUCUGAGCUGCCGUAGAGAAACACUACAUCAACACAAUUUAUUUGAUUACAAUGCCAUGUCAUCUCAUAUAUCUCGUGUUCACAUUAACUUGACAUGGCACUGCGUUUGUGUAUGAGCAUAUAUGGAUGCACAUUAACACAAUCACUGCAGAAUAGCAUUUGUUCAGGGCCCACUACCCUAGUAGAUGCUACACACAGAGCUGAGAAGGCACACAGAACAGUUUAAUAAGAGAGGGGGGAAAAAAGAUACUUUCUAUUUAAUUCAACUUGCAGAAAAACAAAACAAAACGAAAAGCUACUUGAUAUUUCCUCUCCAUGCCUGCUGUAUGGUGGCAAGAAAGACCUCUAAAGCACAUAAAGCUCUUAUCUUUGUUCAUUCCCCAAAGAAUAAUAGACCAGUCAGAGCUCUGAUGCUGUUUUAAUAAUGCACAAUUUACAAUUCAUUGGUUACCAAGCACUCACAGUAUAAUUAAUUUU